GACGAACGCUGGCGGCGUGCCUAAUACAUGCAAGUUGAGCGCUGAAGGUUGGUACUUGUACCAACUGGAUGAGCAGCGAACGGGUGAGUAACGCGUGGGGAAUCUGCCUUUGAGCGGGGGACAACAUUUGGAAACGAAUGCUAAUACCGCAUAAAAACUUUAAACACAAGUUUUAAGUUUGAAAGAUGCAAUUGCAUCACUCAAAGAUGAUCCCGCGUUGUAUUAGCUAGUUGGUGAGGUAAAGGCUCACCAAGGCGAUGAUACAUAGCCGACCUGAGAGGGUUAACGGCCACAUUGGGACUGGGACACGGCCCAAACUCCUACGGGAGGCAGCAGUAGGGAAUCCUCGGCAAUGGACGAAAGUCUGACCGAGCCACGCCGGGGGAGUGAAGAAGGUUUUCGGAUCGUAAAACUCUGUUGGUAGAGAAGAACGUUGGUGAGAGUGGAAAGCUCAUCAAGUGACGGUAACUACUCAGAAAGGGACGGCUAACUACGUG
rnacentral:rRNA from 1 species